rnacentral:rRNA from 1 species
GUGGGGAAUAUUGGACAAUGGGGGGAACCCUGAUCCAGCCAUGCCGCGUGUGUGAAGAAGGCCUUUUGGUUGUAAAGCACUUUAAGCGAGGAGGAGGCUACCGAGAUUAAUACUCUUGGAUAGUGGACGUUACUCGCAGAAUAAGCACCGGCUAACUCUGUGCCAGCAGCCGCGGUAAUACAGAGGGUGCAAGCGUUAAUCGGAUUUACUGGGCGUAAAGCGCGCGUAGGUGGCCAAUUAAGUCAAAUGUGAAAUCCCCGAGCUUAACUUAGGAAUUGCAUUCGAUACUGGAAAGCUAGAGUAUGGGAGAGGAUGGUAGAAUUCCAGGUGUAGCGGUGAAAUACGUAGAGAUCUGGAGGAAUACCGAUGGCGAAGGCAGCCAUCUGGCCUAAUACUGACGCUGAGGUACGAAAGCAUGGGGAGCAAACAGGAUUAGAAACCCUUGUAGUCC